AGAUUUCCAUGGAUGAUGGUCCCAGCCUUUUCUUUCUUUGGCCUUCUAGUUGGAAGCGGCCAAUGGCAGGUAGAACUGGAGAUGAUGGUGUUGCAGGGUCUUUCAAAGGAAUGCCAAGGGGUGGAGCAAAAGACCUCCUUCCAGCACAGCCAAGCGCAGACCCUUCCAGACACCUGGUAACCAUGCACGUGGUCCAGCCAUCCCCUAAUGCAGCCCUGCUGGGUAAAACAAGCUCAGCGCUCACUAGGAAACCUCCGGGGGCCUCCACAAACAGGAUGACAGGUCCAAAUUCCUCUCUGAGUGGCCGCAAAAUUCCUGUCCACCCUUGGAUCUGUGGGUGCCACCUCUGUCCAAGAGAAAGAACCCUUGCCUGCUCAGAGUCUUCUCAAGCGCCUGUGAUCAUAUUUGAGCAAACCGCAGGCCUUCAAGGAGGCA